rnacentral:rRNA from 1 species
CCUACGGGGCGCUGCAGUGGGGAAUAUUGCACAAUGGGGGAAACCCUGAUGCAGCGACGCCGCGUGAGUGAGGAAGUAUUUCGGUAUGUAAAGCUCUAUCAGCAGGGAAGAAAAUGACGGUACCUGGGGAGGAAGCUCCGGCUAACUACGUGCCAGCAGCCGCGGUCAUACGUAGGGAGCGAGCGUUGUCCGGAAUUACUGGGUGUAAAGGUAGCGUAGGCGGGGAUGGAAGUUGGGUGUUAAAUCUACCGGCUCAACUGGUAGUCGCACUCAAAACUGCAGCUCUUGAGUGAAGUAGAGGCAGGCGGAAUUCCUAGUGUAGCGGUGAAAUGCGUAGAUAUUAGGAGGAACACCAGUGGCGAAGGCGGCCUGCUGGGCUUUUACUGACGCUGAGGCUCGAAAGUGUGGGGAGCAAACAGGAUUAGAUACCCUGGUAGUC